AUGGCAAUUCAAAUGGAGAAGCUGGUUCAAGCACUCAAUACGCACAAUCAGAUUAUCCUUCCUUUGAUCCUCCCACCAAGUCAAUAUAACAACCAACAUCAUAAUUAUGCCAACACCAUUGUUCUUCCAAGUGAGAGCCCAAUAAGGAUGAUGGACUUCCUGUCACCAAAAGUAUACCCAAGCACUAUUGGCACACCCCUUGAAGAUCCUUUGUUAGUUCAAGCACUUGAACAACAUGAAACACAUUCCAGUAAGUUCUAUAAACCAGAAGGUUCAUCUUGGCAGCAACGCGUAAACAAUUCUUUCAAAUCUGGGACAGUAGUAAUCCAAGAUCAGAAGAAGGGAAAUAAGGAGGUCAUUUUUUCAACUGGAAUAGAUAAUGCCUUCUACCAAUCAUUGGUUGGACAUCUUUCCAAGUUAACCUAUAGGUACGACUCAGGAAUUUCCCUCCUUAGUAUCUUAGCAAGUACAAAGGUCUCGGAAUGGAAGGUUUCUCCAAUGGUUUCCGCAUUUUCAAGGGAAGCAUUCAACAUGAUUUCUGCAUAUGAACAAAGCUUUUAG
rnacentral:rRNA from 1 species